AUGCUUAAAGCAGAAACGACAUGGAACUCUGAUGUAGUGGGUAAUAAAGUCAGAGAAAUUCAAAUGCAAAACUACUUAAGGAAAAAAGAAUUGAAAGAGCGUCCGGAAAGUGAUUUGAGAGAAGGCUUACGACUAUACAAAGAAUCAGAACUGAUCCUGACCUUGAAGAAAAGCUGGAUGGUAGUGGCUGUGAAGCAACUAGAGAAAGGUCGUGUAUUGAGGAUUUUAGCUGCAGAAAUGUAG